AAUGAAUAGGUAAUUUAGUUCCUAACAUCGAUUGUGAUGUAAAUACUCAACCCAAAAGAACAAUAAAAUGCGAAAUUUGUCUUGGAAAUAAGAAGAAGCAUCACCAUAAUGAUUUGAACGCGAGGAAAUUUUUGAAGAAUUAUAAAUGGAAGAAAUCAGCUUGGGGGGCGUGUUCGACAAAUUGCGGAAAAGGAACCGAAAUACGCAAAGUUUCCUGCCGGGAUAUUCACAGAGAUGUAGCCGUAGUCGAUUCGUAUUGUUCAGGGACGAAUAGAAAGCCGAAACACGCCCGAAUUUGCGAACGUUACGACCCGGCUAGCUGUAAAUUUACUUGGGUCGAAGGGUCGUGGUCGAAGUGUUCGAAAUCGUGUAAUGAAGGCGUCAAACACCGAAACGUCACCUGUCAUAAUGUGACAUCCGGAGAGGUCUCGCGCGAUCCCGUUCACCCCGGGAGAUGCGACGAAUACGCCAAGCCUAAAGUUCAGGAGAAAUGCUUGGAGAGGAAAUGCGAUGAUAAAUUUAAAUGGGUUGCUGGAAAUUAUACUAAGGUAGGUAUUUAUACACUGUGAUAAUU